CGGAGGGUGCGAGCGUUAAUCGGAAUUACUGGGCGUAAAGCGCGCGUAGGUGGCUUGAUAAGCCGGUUGUGAAUGCCCCGGGCUCAACCUGGGAACGGCAUCCGGAACUGUCAAAGCUAGAGUGCAGGAGAGGAAGGUAGAAUUCCCGGUGUAGCGGUGAAAUGCGUAGAGAUCGGGAGGAAUACCAGUGGCGAAGGCGGCCUUUCUGGACUGACACUGACACUGAGGUGCGAAAGCGUGGGGUAGCAAACAGGAUU
rnacentral:rRNA from 1 species